UACGAAGGGGGCUAGCGUUGCUCGGAAUCACUGGGCGUAAAGGGUGCGUAGGCGGGUCUUUUAAGUCAGGGGUGAAAUCCUGGAGCUCAACUCCAGAACUGCCUUUGAUACUGAGGAUCUUGAGUUCGGGAGAGGUGAGUGGAACUGCGAGUGUAGAGGUGAAAUUCGUAGAUAUUCGCAAGAACACCAGUGGCGAAGGCGGCUCACUGGACCGAUACUGACGCUGAGGCACGAAAGCGUGGGAGCAAACAGG
rnacentral:rRNA from 1 species